AACGAACGCUGGCGGCAUGCCUAACACAUGCAAGUCGAACGAGAUCUUCGGGUCUAGUGGCGCACGGGUGCGUAACGCGUGGGAAUCUGCCCUUUGGUUCGGAAUAACAGUUGGAAACGGCUGCUAAUACCGGAUGAUGACGAAAGGCCAAAGAUUUAUCGCCAGAGGAUGAGCCCGCGUAGGAUUAGCUAGUGGGUGUGGUAAAGGCGCACCAAGGCGACGAUCCUUAGCUGGUCUGAGAGGAUGAUCAGCCACACUGGGACUGAGACACGGCCCAGACUCCUACGGGAGGCAGCAGUGGGGAAUAUUGGACAAUGGGCGAAAGCCUGAUCCAGCAAUGCCGCGUGAGUGAUGAAGGCCUUAGGGUUGUAAAGCUCUUUUACCCGGGAUGAUAAUGACAGUACCGGGAGAAUAAGCUCCGGCUAACUCCGUGCCAGCCGCCGCCGUAA
rnacentral:rRNA from 1 species